AGCACUGCAGCAUGAAUGAAGGGUCGGUUCGGCGCGGCCAGGAAAGUCCUUUUGGGCCGAAGGAAGGUGUGGCUGGGCACCUCUGGGCAGCCACCGCCAGUCCUCGCCCGGAGUGAAGGGGCGAGAGGUGACGGAGACGGAGGGGCUCUAGACGGCCGGCGGGACAGUCUGCAUCGCCCCUGCUGAGCGGAGGCCGCCCCGGGAAGGGGGACGCGGUCCCCGGCCUGGCACGAUCCGAGACGGCGGUGGCUGAGGUUCUCCGCGCGAGGCGUGGAGGCCGGCGGGGCGCGGGCAGUGGCCAAGUCGGGACUCCUGGGCACCUGGCGAGCGUCCCCGCGACCAGGGCGGGGACCCGGCUCCGCAGGCCGGUGCGGACCGAGCGAGGCGCGACACCGGGAGGCUCGAGUUCCCAGGCGGCAGGAAGUUGGUCCCCGGACGCCUAGGCUUCUGGGCCGCCGCUCAGCACAUGGGCCGCCUCCCCUCAGGGUCGCCCCCGCGAGGGUCGCAUCUCAGGGACGGCAGCCGCAGCUCCCGGCGGACGAGAAGGUGGGGGAGGGAGACUGGCCCGGAGGUUGGGGAGAGGCCUUGAGGCCCCGGGCUGGAUCCGCCGCAGCCUCCACCGAUCGCGGCCGAUGGGGCAAGCUCAAGCUGCGCCCGACGAGGCAGGAAACUUUCCGACCUGGUGGGGAAAACAUCAAAACAAACGGCCGUCAGGCGCCUCAGCCCGCCCGCCUCAGCCGUCGCCCCCUCCAGCCAGACCCCCGCCAGCCCACACCGCUAGGCACGACCUCCGCCGACCUCUCCGCAAGCAGGCUACGAGGAUUUGGAGCCAGGACGCCACGACGGGUCCUACCUCCCUAGCCGCCACCACCGCCUCAGCUUACCUUGCCAGCGCCGGCCGCCAUAGUGACUCUGACUGAAACCUACCCGGUGCACCGCCACGGGAACGCGCACCCUUCAAGGGCCCUCCUACCCCCUCUCCCGCGCCGUAGUCCAGGAAUGUCACGUGAACGACGCCACGGAAGCCGUGUUGGUAGAGGGCAGAAAAAAGGGCAAGGUAAUUUUUAACGGGCCUCCAGGCGCCAUCUUAGUUAAGGGCUGGAAGCUUCAAACCUCGGGACAACCUUAACGACCAUUUUGGUUAAGGGCAAGAACAAUUUGCGCCGUAGAAGGUUUUUCAAACAAACAGUGCCACCUUCUUAUUUUAUCUACUUAGCAAGGGGGUGCCAACUUUUACUAAAUUUUAUUCUGUUUAAUUCUCGAUGAAAAUACUAGCGAGCAAAAGAACAGACCCAGCCAAAGGAGAUGGUCAUUAGCAGCCAUCUUAGCUGUGGGCAACACAGUCACCCGCAGCUACCUUAAGUGUGAGCCGCCAAACUCCCUGAAGUCUUAGGAUUUGUGCACCUAACAGAAGGACCAUUCUCCCCUCUGCUAAAUUCGUUAUGUUUUCUUCCCGGAAAAAAAAAAUCUUAGUUCCCGCAUUCCAUUUCGAAUGACAGUCUUUCUCACUGAACCUAUUAUGUGCCCCCAGGGCUCCUGCGCGGAUUCUUCCACAGAAGGAGCGUCCAGAAAGUUUAAAAUCAUGUUUCUUCCAAAGAGAGAUUGAAUAAUUUCCAAAGUGAAAAAAGAGGGUAUUUCCCCCACUUACAAUAUCAAGAUGAGGAGUCAUUGGUCUAAAGAAGGAAGACUUUGCAAGGGCUAAAUGAAAACUUUAAGAAAAAAUAGUGAGAAGGAGACUUACUCAUUUAGAAUCAAAGGUGACUUCAUUCUUCAGAUUCCUGCAAUAACAGGCUCCACCACUGUGUGACCUUAAGCAAGUUUCUAAACUUUUUCAAGCCUCUUUUUUCUCAUGGAUGACAUGUUAAUAAUAGUUAAUUCACUUGAUGUGGUGAGACUUCAAAAUGUUAAUCCAUGUUGUUCAAUAAAGAGUAGCAAUUAGGCCGGGCGCGGUGGCUCACGCCUGUAAUCCCAGCACUUUGGGGGGGCCGAGGCAGGCGGAUCACCUGAGGUCGGGAGUUUGAGACCAGCCUGACCAACAUGGAGAAACCCCGUCUCUACUAAAAAUACAUAAUUAGCCGGGCGUGGUGGCGCAUGCCUGUAAUCCCAGCUACUUGGGAGGCUGAGGCAGGAGAAUCACUUGAACCCGGGAGGCGGAGGUUGCGGUGAGCCAAGAUCGCGCCAUUGCAGUCCAGCCUGGGCAACAAGAGUGAAACUGUCUCUCCAAAAAAAAAAAAAAAAAGAAAGAAAGAAAGAAAAAGUAGCAGUUAUUCAUCUCAAUACUUAUAUAGACAGUUUGGCCGUGUCCUAGGUUUUUGCUGGGCCCUGGGGACACAUAACUGAACCAAACUUCAAUUCCUGCCUUCUGAGAUCAUAACGGUAUUGUGGGUUAGAAAUGAGGGUAGGGAGUGACAAACAUGAAAUUGAUGUAAUCAGGGCUAAGAUAGAGGCAGGCACUAGCUGCCCAAGGGGUCAGGGAUGGUCUGGGAGAAGUAACUGAACUGAAUGAAGGAAGAUAGGAAAACCACAAUAAAUAUGGUAUUCGCUGAAUGGUUUCAUGAAUUUCCACAAACACGGAUAGCAAGGAAAAGAAGGAGCCUACUUGAAACAGUGCACCAAUGUGCCGGCACAUAAUAGUGGAUAAAUAAGUAUUUGAUGCAUGAAUGAAAAUUACAUACUGUUACUCAUUAUUAGAGGAUAAAGUAGGCGGGACACAAAGUGAGUCUGGAAAGAAUAGGCAUUAUAUAAUAAAGACGUUAUAUUCGUUUUUCAAGCUCUUCAUCAAUUCAACAAAUAUGUGUCAAGCUACCACUGUGUUCCAGGUAUGCUAUUCAAAAUGAGGAUAUGUUGGAAAGCUUUCUUAUGAGAGGAUGAAAAGUUUUCACUUCUGAUAACUUUUAGGCUGUUAAGGAAUAAAAUAAGAUAGGACCCUCCACAGAUCCCUAAUGAGUUUUUUUUGCACGAAUAGCAAGUCAUUUAUGCAUUCUUUCAUACAUUCAUUCUAUAAACAUUUAAUUGAUACUGUGAAAUAGAUAUUUUGAAAGGUCCUGGAAAUACAAUAAUGAAGAAACAAAAAGACUCCCUCAAGUUGCUCGAUUUAGGUGAUGACACAGAAAGAUCCUUGCUGUAAUGGAGUAUGUCAAGAGUAGUGGAAACAUGGCAGAGUAGUUUAAACUGAAACUUGAAAGGAUUAGAACAGCUAGUCUGAUGCUAUUGGGAUAAAGAAAUUUUAAGCUAAGAAGCAAUCCCAACAAAAGUCCAGAGACUUGAGAGAACAGGACUUUAAGGGAAUUGCAAGUAGGUUCGUAUCACCAGAGCAUAAGAGAUAAGGGAAAACGAGGAGAAAGAGUGACAGAAGUGAGGUUUCAGUUGCUGAAGGACUUCUAGGCAAUGCACCAGACUUCAGAACAUUUCCAUCUUCCUCCUAGAAGAUCAAAGAGAAGUAAUGAAAGUCAAGGUGCUGGAAUCAGACAUGGCAUACUUUUACCAGCACCAUAAAUGGUAAAUUAUUUAGCUUCCCUAAAUUUCAGCUUCCUUAUCUGAAAAAAAAAAAAGCAUAUAUCUACUGCACUUGACUAGUCUUUUUUUUAAAAAAAAAAAAAAGGGGUUGGGAAGGGGGAAGGAAAAAGGUAGAUAAUACCUUACAGAGUCUUCUUAGGAUUAAAUAAAACAAUGGAAUACAAAAUGCCAACCAUGGUGGCUGGGAAAUAGUAGACACUCACAGAAUGUUAAUAUUUAUCAUUAUUGCUCAUAGAAAGAAUUCCCCCAGCCUUCCACAUAUAGUAAGGAGCAAGUUGUUUUAUCUCUAGUUUGUAUAUAGAGAAACUUAAUCAUACAUAUGGAAACAAAAAAAGUCUGUUUAUAUUCAGUUCUACUAUAAUAUCUCUUAAAAUUAAUGUUAAGCAGAGUGGACUUUCUUCUACAAGAAAAGCUGGGACUACUAUAACAUGUCAGGAUAAAGAAUCCUAUCAAGCUACACAGGGUGCUAGAAAUGCCAAAAUGGCAUUGAAGGCAUUCUUCACCCACUGGUAUUCAGCAGGCACAGAAAAGGCUUAAAUUAAGAAAUCUCAUACAUGAGAUACUUUGAAUUCUAAGUCAUGUGGGUGUUCCUCUCUGUGAUUCUGUAUCCACACAAAAUUUUUAUUAAAUAAAAAACAUGUCAUAUUUUGAGAAAUUGGGAAUGGCAAUGUUUCCUGAUUUUGUAGUUCUCUCCCUUUUUAAGUUUCUGCCUUUUUAUAGUCUGAUGAGUAUUGCCACUGCUAUGAUCCAAGCCACUUUUCAAUCUUAUAAAAGCAAAGACAGACUUGUAAAAUUAUCAUCCUAGUACCAUCAAAGAUGGGCAAUUAUUAGCAUUUCUGAUGUGUAGGAGACAACUCUGUAAACUCUACUAAUAAGCAGCCCUUUCUAAUUAAUAAUGAUCUAAUUGGACUUUGACCAAUGACAUACACUUGGUAUAUAAUAAAUUAUGGAACACUUGCAUAACUGUUUCAGCAGAGUACCUGGAUUGCAAAUAUAGGUAAGCAAACCAAUUAAGAGAAAGCUGGGAGUACUCAAAGCCCAAAAUUGAGAGUAUAUAACAUUUUUAGUGGCACACACUGGCUUAUUACAACUGAAGUUAGGUCCUCUUCCCACUAAGGAAAGCUCUCUUCAUCAGGGAGAUUCUAAUGAGUGGAAAUACCCUGUCAUUUCCCAGGUGCCCAGGGUGGAGUAGCCCAGACAUUCCAGAGGCACUGCUCAUAUGUUUGUGGCUUCCUGGUUAUUCAGGAAAUAAAAGAAAAGUAACUACCUGAAGACAAAUGAAGACAUUAAGUUCAUUUAGCAACCUUUUUCUGUGAAUAUAAAAGGAGGGAAUCACAAUAUUAUAACUCCAGAAAGAAUCAUAGACAACAAAUCCAGCUUCCACAUUUUACAGGCAAGGAAAUUGAGGCUCAGAGAAGGAACUUUAAUGAUUGUGUAUUUACCAUGUGGUUAGCAUUUUCCUCAUGACAUCUCUGUGUAUUAAGUAUUAACCUUAUUUUAUAGGUAAGUAAGGAAACUAAGGCUCAGGCUCAAACAUUAAGAAAAACAUUAAGAAUCUUAAUAUUCGAUUGAGUGACUGAAAAUAAGUCACCAUGCUAGAUCCAAAGUACAUGCUGGGGUUUUUUCUUUCUAAAAAUUAUCUUUAUUUUUAUUUAUUUAUUUUUUGACAAUAUCUUGCUCUGUCACCUAGGCUGGAGUGCAAUGGCACAAUCACGGCUCACUGUAGCCUCAACCUCCCCAGCCCAACCAAUCUUUCCACCUCAGCCUCCUUAGUAGGCAUGUGCCACAGGCAUGUGCCACCGCCAUACCCAGCUAAUUUAUUUUUGUUUAUUAAUUUUUUCUUUUCUGUAUACCUCGGAUCCCCUGUGUUGCUUAGGCUGGUCUCAAACCCAUGGGCUCAAGUGAUCCUCCUGUCCGGCCUCCCAUAGUGCUGGGAUUAUAGGCAUGAGCCACCAUGCCGGCCCCGACUGAUUUUUUUGAUUGAUAAAAGAAACACAUGCUCAUUGCAUAUAUUCAGGUAAGCAAAAAUGAGGAAAGUAAAAGUCCUCUCUAGCCCCAUCACAAAUACUUAGUCUAAUGCUACUGUUAACAAUUUGUUAGCUGUAUUCUUCCAGAUGCUAUUCUAAGC
rnacentral:lncRNA from 1 species